AAUCUCUAAAAAGGCUUAUAUUUAAAAAAUGAAGGCAGUACAACCCAGCUACAUGAAAAAGCAAUGCAACAAAACGACCGUGACACCAGAACUUGCGGGCAAGUUGAGAAAAACAACCAUUACUUCUACAGGUGUAAAUCAUCAGCCAUAUGUGCUUUCCAACCGGAAAAGAAAACGACCGAUUCAGGUCUGUAUCUUUUACAGGUGUAAAACUGUGAAAAACGACAAUCCAAUCAGGCCCUAAUUGGGCCAAAACUUACAGCAUGGACACGCAAGAGAAGAGCAAGACAAAGAAACAACCAAAAAUUGGGGCAAACUUACAGUAAGAACCCUGGGACAAACCUGGAAGGAACAAUGGCGGAUGCAACACAGCUAAGCACCCCUUUUUCUUUGUCUACGCUUCUCCAGCAUUGUUCAUAGGGAUUGGGACUUCAGGGGCCUUGCCUUUCCCUCUACAAAUCCACAAGAUUUUGCCAAAAACAUCAAAAGGGACUGCCAAAUGAGGUCAUAUAGGACUUCAGCUAGUACAGAUUACAAACAACUAUACUAGAUCUAGCAAGAAAUAAGAAUUCUUAGAAAAGUGUAAGCCCAGAAGAUGGGUGCUUUGAUCAAACAGAACUGUAAUUACAUAAAAUGGGUGCUUUGAUCUUGCUGGUGUAGACAUAGAGUACAACUAGUGCAGAUUACAAGCAAGCACAUAUCAGACUUAAACAAUAGCAAACAGUAAAUUUAAAUUUUCUGAUAAGGAAGUCUACAGCAAUCAAACAUGGAGAUGCUGACUUGCAAUGUUAAAAUAUAUACACCAGUACACCAUGGCUGCUUCAGAUGUUCAGUUAUAUUCGGAAAAGCAUGAUGUGUGUUCAAAUGAAAUGGUUACUGAAAAAGGUUCUCACCUUGUUCCAGUAGAACAUGUAGUGAUCCAUAAUUUUUAAAACAUAGAAAACGUUCAGUAAAUUCAUUGGAUCAGGUCUCGUGGUUCCACAGGAUGGUGAUGCAAAAGCACGAUUUUUUUUGCGAAUUUAGUAGCAAAC
rnacentral:lncRNA from 1 species